AACGAACGCUGGCGGCAUGCCUAACACAUGCAAGUCGAACGAGACCUUCGGGUCUAGUGGCGCACGGGUGCGUAACGCGGGGGAACCUGCCCUUAGGUUCGGAAUAACUCCCCGAAAGGGGUGCUAAUACCGGAUAAUGUCUUCGGACCAAAGAUUUAUCGCCUUUGGAUGGGCCCGCGUUGGCUUAGCUAGUUGGUAGGGUAAAAGCCUACCAAGGCGACGAUCCAUAGCUGGUCUGAGAGGAUGAUCAGCCACACUGGGACUGAGACACGGCCCAGACUCCUACGGGAGGCAGCAGUGGGGAAUAUUGGACAAUGGGCGAAAGCCUGAUCCAGCAAUGCCGCGUGAGUGAUGCAGGCCUUAGGGUUGUAAAGCUCUUUUACCCGGGAUGAUAAUGACAGUACCGGGAGAAUAAGCUCCGGCUAACUCCGUG
rnacentral:rRNA from 1 species